rnacentral:rRNA from 1 species
UACGGAGGAUGCAAGCGUUAUCCGGAAUGAUUGGGCGUAAAGCGUCCGCAGGUGGCAAUGUAAGUCUGCUGUCAAAGCGUCUGGCUCAACCAGAUAAAGGCAGUGGAAACUACAUAGCUAGAGUAAGGUAGGGGUAGAGGGAAUUCCUGGUGUAGCGGUGAAAUGCGUAGAGAUCAGGAAGAACACCGGUGGCGAAAGCGCACUGCUGGACCUUAACUGACACUGAGGGACGAAAGCUAGGGGAGCGAAUGGG